CUUGCCUCCGUGGUAAAGGAAAAGGUUGCCAUGCCCGGCAAGCCAAUUUGACUCUUGCGCAUCGGCAACGUGAGUGCACGGGUGAGCGAAAAGCAAGCAGGCGUGGGAAUAAAGGGCGCCAGCGCUCAGCUCACCACCCUCAAGUCCCAUUUAUUCAGGGCUGGUAACUUUCCCCUGUGCAUGCUCUCUCCCAGCUGUUGUCUCUUUCUUCCUCUCUAAAUUCAAUCUCCGGAUAUAGAUACGGUCCUCUUCCCUUUCCCCUUCCAAGCUCCAGAUCUAUGCAUUAGCUGCUCCAUUAGAGGUGGUGUCUUUGAGGUUGGACGUGCAAGGAAUAGGUGAUGAGGAUAUCACUCAUUCGGAUACGCACAAGGAAUAUAGGAGAAGAACCAUAACUUCACUUGGACGUCACCCCUCAAAGGCCAAGUCUAUUCAUACUUUAAGUCAUUUUCAAGUCAGACUCCAAACUCGGUUCAUAUGUGGACAAUACGUCAAUGAAACGGACAUAACUUUUAUAUAUGGAGUCCAAUUGAGGUGUUCAUAAACUUACUGAAAAACUUAUGAUAAGACCUUUCGAAUGGAUCUGAUCUCACCCUUAGAUUUCUUAGGAUUUAAUCAAAGUUGGUGAAAUAAUAUGUUGCAUCACCGUUUGAGCCAUGUAGGGCCUUGUAAACGUGUCAGGGUCUAACUCCAGAUUAUGUGCAUCCCUUUCCAUGUCUCUCUAUAUAUAUACAGUGGUCGUUAUUGUUUUGACUCAA